UACGUAGGGUGCGAGCGUUAAUCGGAAUUACUGGGCGUAAAGCGCACGUAGGCGGCUUUGUAAGUUAGAGGUGAAAGCCCGGAGCUCAACUCCGGAAUUGCCUUUAAGACUGCAUCGCUAGAAUUGUGGAGAGGUGAGUGGAAUUCCGAGUGUAGAGGUGAAAUUCGUAGAUAUUCGGAAGAACACCAGUGGCGAAGGCGACUCACUGGACACAUAUUGACGCUGAGGUGCGAAAGCGUGGGGAGCAAACAGG
rnacentral:rRNA from 1 species